AAUGACCUCGGAUCAGGUAGGGAUACCCGCUGAACUUAAGCAUACCAGUAAGCAAAACCCCACAAAUUGACCUCGGAUCAGGUAGGGAUACCCGCUGAACUUAAGCAU
rnacentral:rRNA from 1 species